CUUCCGCGCAUGCUGAACGAGUGUGUCGCUCUGAGCGGCAGAUUGCUAUAGUAAUUGCAUUAUAACUGCGUCCCGCGCGGUGACGUCGCGUAUUUGUCGGGACGAUUCUGCGUGAGAUCCCCAGCCGUAUCGCACCGUGUUGUUUUGAAUCUGGUGGUGAAGAUGUACGUGGCUUCCUUCCCGUCGGUGACGAGGAAGUAAGGCGGGGCGAGGAGAUUCCUCGCCGAGCGCAGCGCCGCUAUGCUGAUGUAGAAGAAUAUGUGGAAGGAUGCCAUUAACACCCAUCUGCAUCCUGGGUCUCACCUGUGAGGAUCGCUGUCAUUGGGCAAUAUAGCCACGAUGACGGCAUCGAGCAGGCCCCAGCCGCCCCUCCAGUGGUUAAUGUUGGCGAGAAUGAAGAUAUACGUGUACACUCUGGACAGCGCCCGCUCCAGCAGCCAUCGCCCCGCGCCGCCGUCCGCCCCGCUCCACGCGCCUUUGGAUCGCGCCAGGAGUCGUGACCUGAACAAUAAUUGCAGGUCUCCCAUGGUACAAGAAGUGUUACCUGUUGACCAGCCACGCAGGCAGGGAGCCGCGUGGGUCCGACCGGGACACGUAGCCCAGCCAGCUGCCGCCGCCCGCCCGGGAGCGAACCACAAAC